rnacentral:rRNA from 1 species
GUUAGUCGGGUCCUAAGCUGAGGCCGACAGGCGUAGGCGAUGGAUAACAGGUUGAUAUUCCUGUACCACCUAUAAUCGUUUUAAUCGAUGGGGGGACGCAGUAGGAUAGGCGAAGCGUGCGAUUGGAUUGCACGUCUAAGCAGUAAGGCUGAGUAUUAGGCAAAUCCGGUACUCGUUAAGGCUGAGCUGUGAUGGGGAGAAGACAUUGUGUCUUCGAGUCGUUGAUUUCACACUGCCGAGAAAAGCCUCUAGAUAGAAAAUAGGUGCCCGUACCGCAAACCGACACAGGUAGUCAAGAUGAGAAUUCUAAGGUGAGCGAGCGAACUCUCGUUAAGGAACUCGGCAAAAUGACCCCGUAACUUCGGGAGAAGGGGUGCUCUUUAGGGUUAACGCCCAGAAGAGCCGCAGUGAAUAGGCCCAAGCGACUGUUUAUCAAAAACACAGGUCUCUGCUAAACCGUAAGGUGAUGUAUAGGGGCUGACGCCUGCCCGGUGCUGGAAGGUUAAGAGGAGUGGUUAGCUUCUGCGAAGCUACGAAUCGAAGUCCCAGUAAACGGCGGCCGUAACUAUAACGGUCCUAAGGUAGCGAAAUUCCUUGUCGGGUAAGUUCCGACCCGCACGAAAGGCGUAACGAUUUGGGCACUGUCUCAACGAGAGACUCGGUGAAAUCAUAGUACCUGUGAAGAUGCAGGUUACCCGCGACAGGACGGAAAGACCCCGUGGAGCUUUACUGUAGCCUGAUAUUGAAAUUCGGCACAGCUUGUACAGGAUAGGUAGGAGCCUUUGAAACGUGAGCGCUAGCUUACGUGGAGGCGCUGGUGGGAUACUACCCUAGCUGUGUUGGCUUUCUAACCCGCACCACUUAUCGUGGUGGGAGACAGUGUCAGGCGGGCAGUUUGACUGGGGCGGUCGCCUCCUAAAAGGUAACGGAGGCGCUCAAAGGUUCCCUCAGAAUGGUUGGAAAUCAUUCAUAGAGUGUAAAGGCAUAAGGGAGCUU